GGUUUCAUGGUGUAGUUUGUUAUCACAUUUGUCUACUCUAACAGUUUCCACUGUCCCCAGAUCGAGCCUGUGUGAAAUCA